rnacentral:rRNA from 1 species
UACGGGGGGGAGCAAGCGUUGUUCGGAUUUACUGGGCGUAAAGGGUGCGUAGGCGGCGCGGUAAGUCGGGUGUGAAAUCUCGGAGCUUAACUCCGAAACUGCAUUCGAUACUGCCGUGCUUGAGGACUGGAGAGGAGACUGGAAUUUACGGUGUAGCGGUGAAAUGCGUAGAUAUCGUAAGGAAGACCAGUGGCGAAGGCGGGUCUCUGGACAGUUCCUGACGCUGAGGCACGAAGGUCAGGGGAGCAAACGGGG